rnacentral:rRNA from 1 species
UACAGAGGGUGCGAGCGUUAAUCGGAAUUACUGGGCGUAAAGCGUGCGUAGACGGUCAAGUAAGUCGGGUGUGAAAGCCCCGGGCUCAACCUGGGAAUUGCAUUCGAGACUGCGUGGCUAGGGUGCGGAAGAGGGAAGCGGAAUUUCCGGUGUAGCGGUGAAAUGCGUAGAUAUCAGGAGGAACACCAAUGGCGAAGGCAGCUCACUGGGACGGUAUUGACGCCGAGACGCGAAAGCGUGGGGAGCAAACAGG